GAUGAACGCUAGCGGCAGGCUUAACACAUGCAAGUCGAGGGGUAGAGGAAGCUUGCUUCCUUGAGACCGGCGCACGGGUGCGUAACGCGUAUACAAUCUACCUUUUACAGAGGGAUAGCCCAGAGAAAUUUGGAUUAAUACCUCAUAGUAUAGUACUUUGGCAUCAAGGAACUAUUAAAGUCACAACGGCAAAAGAUGAGCAUGCGUCCCAUUAGCUAGUUGGUAAGGUAACGGCUUACCAAGGCUACGAUGGGUAGGGGUCCUGAGAGGGAGAUCCCCCCANACUGGUACUGAGACACGGACCAGACUCCUACGGGAGGCAGCAGUGAGGAAUAUUGGACAAUGGGCGCAAGCCUGAUCCAGCCAUGCCGCGUGCAGGAUGACGGUCCUAUGGAUUGUAAACUGCUUUUAUACAGGAAGAAACACUCCGACGUGUCGGAGCCUUGACGGUACUGUAAGAAUAAGGAUCGGCUAACUCCGUGCCAGCA
rnacentral:rRNA from 1 species